CCUCGGCGGGUGUCAACGCCAUCUUCUCUGAAACUGCUGGACCAAUGAAGCUGAAACUUGGUGUGCAUGUUCCUACCCAUGAGGACACCAAAGUUUCUUUGAACUGAUCCGAUUUCAAAUAUGGCCACCG